CCCACCAGAGCGCCAGGUAGCGCCUCUUUCUUCUCUCUCAGCAAAAUCAGGAAAGGAAAAAAGAGAAGAGUUUUUCGGGUCGAGAUCCGGCGACGCUCCGUCGGGUUUCGUCCGCCUGAAUUCCGGAACUCCGAGCUGUCUCUUCUCUUCUUCUUAUUCUUCUGUUCCUCCUCCUCCUCGCCGCUCUCACAAUGAAGGCUUCCGGUACUCUCGUCGCCUCCAUGGUCGCCGCCUCCACCAUGGCUCUGACCUCCUCCUCCUCCUCCUCCUCUCCCUCCGCCGCGCCGGGACUUGCCUCUGCGAAGGGCGGGCGCAAUUCGCAUACGGCGUCGGCGUCGGCGUCGUCGGAUAAGGAGAAGUUCGAGCCCAGAUUCGACGGGUUGAGGUUCAUUGAGACGUUGGUCACAGCGCACAGAUGAAAGGAGAUCCCCAAAUUUAUUUCGAGGAGCCGGUGAUUAGUUUGUGAAAUCCGCAAAAUUAGAAUUCAGAGAGAAACUGCUUUUCUUUUUGCCUUCCUUUUUCUGAUGUGAUUGGGUCGUUUUUGGUGUUUGGUAUGUUCUCAAUCUCAUAUCUCUAACUACGAGGCCUUUUUUUUUGGGUGUUGCUUAGUGGGUCAUUUGUGGUCUGGUUUGUAUUGUAAUUUCUCUUCGGAGGAAAUUAUUUGGGGAUUUAAAUUGUAUAAAACAUUGUUUUGCCAACCCAUUAACAUGUGCUGCUUCCAGUUGUGAAUUUGGCAAAUUCUUAGUUUCUGUGUUUGCUUAGGAAAGAAUGAAUCUACCAGCUAAGCAAAGCCUGCAAAUUGGGAUUCAAAUUACCCAACGUGUUGGGUUUGCCAUGCUUGAAUUUUUAAUAUUUGGGGUUGGCUGGAGCAUGAGGAUUCUGGGCUUAUUCCUUUACCCAGAAGUCAAAAAAAUAAGGUUAUUUGUGGAGGAAGUAAACUAAGAUUGGAUGAGUCGGACAGACUUGAACAGAAUGAGUAAAAUAUGUAUUUGUCUUUUGGUGAUAAAAAUGUGUAGGAAACUUCAAGGAAGAUGACUAGGCCAAGUGCACAAACAAGAACAACAUGCCGAGUUGCCAACUGGGAGGGCCGAUCUCGAGACUGGAGGUCUCCAACUUCUAAGGAUCAUAUCCCCAGAUUUGGGAGAAGUAUGGAAACCCGUAUUCUAGGAUGGGUCUCAGAACCACCGACCCAAUUUGGUCCUAUAUCGACCUAAUGUUCAUGGACUGGACAAGUGGUCUAUAUACGUCAUUGUGGUGAGGAAACAUUUAAAAAUGAAUUAGGAACUCCAUGCGCUACGAUUUUAUAUUCUGAAAUGACUCAAUAUACCACAAACUUUUGUUGAGGAAAAUCACUUGGUUGUGGUCCAAGAGUCACGAUGAUGUGGACCUUUAAAAAAAAUCUGUGUAAAACUUGUGAUGGAAUAAUGUUUUGACGACUCCAACCUCUUAAAUUCCUGUGCUUGAGAUUGUUAUAUGAUAGUAGGCCACAAGUCUCCUAGAUAUUGUCAUGUUAGGCCAAAAGUGGAACCUUGUAGAAUGUAGAAUGUAGAAUGCAGACAGAGAAACAAUUAAGCGUGAUAUUAAGUUACCCAUUUCAUCUCAUCUUGUUUUGUUUGCAGCCACAUAUCUAAUAAAUGGUCUGUAUUCACUGACUCCAUGUAUUACUGAAGCACUCAUUUGAUAUGUGGAUGGUAUGAAGGCCUGGACCCGAACGCGUUUCAAUCAUCAAUUUCUUUCAUCUGUAAAGCGUUCUUCUUCAAGUUGCAAUUUGUAGCCAACCACCUUAAUUUAAAUUCUUUGGAAAAUAUGUCAAAUUUGUAAGGGUAAUUGAGGAUUAUGGUAUGAUUUAGUAGGUUAAGUCCCAAUGAGAUUUCGGAUAAGAACCAAUGACUAGGUUUGUUCAUAGUAGAGUUUUUGUCUAUAUUCGAGAUGCCGGAGAAGCACGGGUGAGCCAAUGGACUCUGAUGCUAAAUCACCUUGCUACCUAUCAAGAGAAAUAUACAAGGUCGGGAAGAAGAUCGAGCGGGUUGGCCAUUGUCACUCUGAUGCCGAAGUUAGUUUCCUUGUAUUUAAUUUGACAAAAUAACAAUAGGUAAAAGUAGUUAAUGCACAUUAUUGGAGGUAAUUAGCCUCCUUAAAUAGACAUUAAUUGGAUUA